rnacentral:rRNA from 1 species
UACGUAGGGUGCGAGCGUUAAUCGGAAUUACUGGGCGUAAAGGGUGCGCAGGCGGUCCCGCAUGUCGGGCGUGAAAUCCCCGGGCUUAACCUGGGAAUGGCGUCCGAAACUAUGGGACUGGAGUGUGGCAGAGGGAGGUGGAAUUCCACGUGUAGCGGUGAAAUGCGUAGAGAUGUGGAGGAACACCGAUGGCGAAGGCAGCCUCCUGGGCCAACACUGACGCUCAUGCACGAAAGCGUGGGGAGCAAACAGGAUUAGAUACCCUGGUAGUCCACGCCCUAAACGAUGAUGACUAGUUGUUGGAGGAGUUAAAUCCUUUAGUAACGCAGCUAACGCGCGAAGUCAUCCGCCUGGGGAGUACGGUCGCAAGAUUAAA